GGCGAUAUGGCCGAGCGGUCUAAGGCGCCAGAAUCGGGAAGCUGUCCCACCUCUUCCUCACGGGUGUGGGUUCGAAUCCCACUGUCGUCA